AUCAUGGAUUCUUUACGUAAGAGAUUUCACAGAUAAGCUUUUUCCUAAAGAUGAUCUUUCCUCCCGUUCACAUCAAAGCCUAAAAGUGCUUGAUGUGUUCAUUUCGGACUGCUACGACUAGCUCCUAAAUAACCCCUUUCGCUGUGAUGAUGAAACAGGAGAGUUUGACACUUGAUUCAGGCCAUCGGGAUCACAUGGCUGGAGGCCACGCCACUUACAUGCCAACACGCUGUCAAUGUUUUCACCAAGUGCCGUACCCUCAGCAACUUCAUUAACACACAACAAACCUCCAGCAGACUGCUGCUGUUGGAGGUGGACCAGAACACCAACUUACAAAGUCUGCUUAAUGUAAGCACAGCUCCGAUGGGUAGGGGGAGGGUCUUUGGAUUCAACCAUCAGUUCAUCCCUUUUCAGAGGAUGUCAGCCAUCACAAUAUGAUCUACAGCUGAACUGUAUCAACCAAGUCAUGAGAUAUUCAAGAGUGCCAAGUUAUAUAUUCAAGACUGCCCUCCACAACAUGCAACCUCGAUGACUUGGAAUGUUUGCAUUCAUUAUCUUAUCUAGCCUGACUAAAUCAAUCUAGUGAUAAGUGUUGAGUCAUUGAGGAAACGAAAGAAAAAAAAAUCAUAAAACCACUGUUGGUUAUUGUCUACAAAAAAAGUGGAGCACAUUAAAUGAUUCCAAGAUGCAGCUCUAAUUCCUUUUAUCUGCAGAGCAUUAUUCACUAAUGCUUUUCUGCUUUCUGGAUGAAUACCUCAGAGAAUGUCGGAUUAAGAAAUCAUUUCACAUGGAAGUCUGGAGCUAAUGGACACCUGUGAAGGUACUGAGAGGAAAUGUGGAUUGUUUGAAACUCUGUUGACUUCUGAGCAAUGUUCCAGAUGAGGGAAUAGGUGUCACAGUAACUGCACUCACAUUUUUUACGGCAACUCCAAAUCACAACUGUCAGAUUCUCUCAGUUCAAAAAGGAUCAAAUUGAGAUUUAAGAAAGCUCUUGUUGGUUUUUGUUCAUUUAGUAAUCCGCCCAGGCUGAGGUAGGUCAAAGGUCACCCUGCUUGGUCCUACGGCACAUGAAAAAAGCAUCUGUCAGCAACCUAAGCUCAAAACACAUUCAUUACUCAAGGACAACUGCCAC
rnacentral:lncRNA from 1 species